rnacentral:lncRNA from 1 species
UUGGUGUGAAUGGCAUGAACAAGGCAAUCCUUGCAUCAAUAACAAAUUGAUCAAAAUCAAAGUGUUUGGGGUCAUAAUCUGGAAUGCUCCGUUGAACGAAAUUUAAUUUGCUUCUUCACCUUUCGUGUCCAAAUCUUUCGUCUUUGUUGGUCUUUCGGAAAUGUAAACAAACAUAAUCCCUGACCUGAUCAAGUAUUACAGUUGUAUGCAACACAAAACACCAUAGCCGGUUAACGUUGUUUACAAUUUUACGUUCUAACACAUGUAUUCGAUACCAAUGUAACAAAGGACUCAUAUGACGUCACAGCGAGAAGGAAAUAAAGGGAGAUAAACAAGGUUGGUAUUUCCCGUAUUUUUCGACACCAAUAUUUACCUGUUAUUUUUAGUACCAAC